CCUACGGGUGGCAGCAGUGGGGAAUAUUGGACAAUGGGCGAAAGCCUGAUCCAGCCAUGCCGCGUGUGUGAAGAAGGCCUUCGGGUUGUAAAGCACUUUCAGUGGGGAAGAAAGCCUUGGGGCUAAUACCCUCGAGGAAGGACAUCACCCACAGAAGAAGCACCGGCUAACUCCGUGCCAGCAGCCGCGGUAAUACGGAGGGUGCGAGCGUUAAUCGGAAUUACUGGGCGUAAAGCGCGCGUAGGCGGUCUGAUAAGCCGGUUGUGAAAGCCCCGGGCUCAGCCUGGGAACGGCAUCCGGAACUGUCAGGCUAGAGUGCAGGAGAGGAAGGUAGAAUUCCCGGUGUAGCGGUGAAAUGCGUAGAGAUCGGGAGGAAUACCAGUGGCGAAGGCGGCCUUCUGGACUGUCACUGACGCUGAGGUGCGAAAGCGUGGGUAGCAAACAGGAUUAGAUACCCCAGUAGUC
rnacentral:rRNA from 1 species